AUGGACAACACACAAGCUGCACAAGCACCGUUCAGGCUUCCUGAUGUCAGUCAGAAAAUCCUUUCUGACCUUUGCUCAUUUCUUUUCACUAGAGAAGUUGAGGAACAUGCAGAGAAAACCAAGUUCAUUGCAGCAUGCUUACCCAAUGAACGAUUUCCUGGCUCCUCAAUUUACCUUUACCAAAGUGGGAAAGUUGUGAGUCAGAAUUUGAAAGUUGAUAUAAAACCAGCACCUGUAGAAAUAAUUACAGUGAAGCAAACUUGUGUUACCUUGAAGUUGCAGAGUUUGAAGAUGGCAUUUGCUGAUCGGUACAGACUAGAGUAUAAAGCAGUGAGCUGCAGAGGAACGACCGGCACUGAGCCAAAAUGGAAAGCCAUUGAAAUCUGGAGAACUGGAUCAAAUGUUGUGGUUUUAGGUGUCAAUCCAGGGACACAUUACCAGCUCAGGCAUGCUAUAAUGAACAGUGACAGCAUGAGUGACUACAGCAGAAUCACAGAGUUUCAGACACUUGCUAGAGCCAGACCUGGACAGCCAACUGUGAUGAAACAGAAAACAGGCUCUCUCACUAUUUCCUGGUGCUGCGCGAAAAGUGAUGUUGACUCUCCUGUGCUCUGCUACAUGGUGGAGUAUAGCAAAGCUGGUCUGGAGGGUUGGCAGUCAGUUCUAACAGAGGGUCCCGAGUGUGAAUACACCAUAACCCUUCCCUACGGCACCUGCUACAGAUUCAGAGUCUCUGCUGUCUAUGAAGAGGGGGACUCCAGCAAACCCAGUGAAGAAACCAAUGUGCAACUGGAUGUGAAGAAUCCAUUACAGCUGACAGACUGGACGGAUGUAGAGAAUGAGGAAAGGACCUUUCUUCAGUGUCUCCCCUACAUCUCGCAGCUCAGGUUCGUUGAGCUCCAGCAGGGGACAGCAGCAGCUCUGCUUUCUGCUCUCCAGGACAAACUAGACUUCCCCUGCUGCUGCUGUCUGGACCUUAUAGAACACAUACCCAGAAACACUAUGAGCACUGAGGAAUGCAGAGUCAUCUCCUUAGGCAUUCAGGGAGCCUCCACACACACUCGGCUCAUUCAGCAGGACUGCGAGAUAGAGGAUGCAAAACUGAAGAAGCUCUUCAGAGUUUUACGCACAGACUGGACUGCAGCAAAGCUUCCGUUCCUGGCUCUUGUCAGUGUGGGCUCUGCUUGAAGAACUGGAAAUCAGUUGGCAAAGCUGUACCUGCAGGUCCUGAGUCCAGAGCAUUGAACCUGAUGCUAUUACUGUAUGAUUACAUUUGAGAAGUAAUAAUGAUCGUUUCCUUGUAAACUGACUUUUAAUUUUUUUUCAUGUAAAAUUGACAAAUUCUUAAUAGUAGACAAUUUUAGUGGCACUACAAUUUCACACAGAGAUAGAACAUCGGAAGACAGUGGCUUGGGCCCUAAAAUAUAGUUCCUCCUGAAACUCAGCGUAAAUGUAUUGUAUGCAACAUCUAUAUGACUUGCAUUUAUCCCAUUUCUGCUCACAGAUUAGGACUAUAGUUUGAUAUAAAAUGCAGAGAUUGUCGGUGUAAACCUGAUGUGGAAAAACUAAUCUGUGCCUUUAUCUCCAGCAGAAUUGAUUACUGUUUUAGUCAACUAACUGGUCUUCCAAAAAAAUACAACCAAACCAAAUUGUAGAAUGCAGGUGCUAAAGUUCUCGACAGCAACACGUCCCUAUUGCUGGUCUAAAAGUGUCUCAGUGGGACCAGCAUAUUUAUCUGAUUUGAUGCAGAGAUAUGAACAGAGAAGACCCCUUAGAUAUUUAGGAAUGAGUCAGUUAGUCCAGCCUAAGGUAAAAGCUAAACAUGAAGUGGCAGUGUUUAUCUACUUUGCUGCUGUUAUUUGGAACCAGUAGAAUAUGCAGUUUAUUGUAAUUUAUUAUUCAUUUUCAAUUAUUUUUUAAAGCUUUCUUGCUUUUACUGUUUAUUAUGUCUUUGUAUAUUUUUUCACAUCUAUUUAGUUUGUAUGCCUUUGUGUGUUUUCCUUGUUCAUGUAAAGCACUCUGGAUUACCACAGUGUCAAACAUAGUAUUUUAUAAUUGCAGUUUAAUUGUCAAAUGUGUUUUGCAUAUUGUGCUAUGAAAAAAAAAGAUUUAUUUUUUAUUAUUUUUGUUUAAUAAUGUGACAUUUUAAAUAAGGAAUGCCUCUAAUAACAGUGCCUCUAAUUGAUGGAUACCAUGAAGGAAAAUAUUUCUUUCGCAUUUUUCUUGAUAUGCCCCUUUCAAGCUACUCGUACAUUUGUGUCACUACUGAAACGCAAGGCAACCACUGUACCAUUACACAAUAACUGUACACCUCUGCAUUGUUUUUGUUAGUAACGAAUUUAUCAUUAGGGUUAGACACACUGAACCAAAAGCCCACAUCAGUAUAACAAGCUUGAGUUGUUCAUUCACAGGGAGGAUUCCAGUUGAAGCAUCAAUACAGUAGUUUGUUCUUGUCCGUUAUAAUUUAUUUGUCCCUGAAAACAAAUCUCCUCCAUUAAACUACUACUUAACCAACUACUCCCUUGUACCUGGCAUGAUGUCAUUCUACUUUCAACUAGCAUCAAUUACACUUAUCGUCAAAAAAAAGGUGCCACCCAGAAAGAAAUGUCAGAUUGCAAUUCUAUUGAGAGUAAAGGUAAAGGUUACUAGAACAACUCUCAACUCUUGUUCAUAUACAGCUCUGGAAAAAAAUAAGAGACCAAUUCAUUUUCUCUGAUUUUGCUAUUUAUAGGUAUACAGUUCGGACACACCUUCUCAUUCAAUGCGUUUUCUUUAUUUUCAUGACUAUUUAAAUUGUAGAUUCUCACGGAAGGCAUCAAAACUGAAGAAUGAACUAUAUGUUUGAGUAAAAUGAACAUUGUUGUUUUAUUCUUUAAACAACAGACAACAUUUCCUCCAAAGUUUUAAUAAAAAAUAUAGAGCGUUUAUUUGCA
rnacentral:lncRNA from 1 species